GUUUAACAAUGUUUUUGUGUGUAUCUGUUACUAUAUAUACAUGUUAUAGGUUUGUUUGUUCUUUCUCGCUCUCUCCUAAUACAUCUUUAAUACCUCCUUUUUGAUAAUGGUAUGCUCUUGUUUUGGUCUUUUUGAAUUUGUUUAUCAUGUUGUGGGGUUUUUUUUUCGCGUGUGUGUGUGUGUGUGUGUGUGUAUGUAUGUAUAUAAUGCGAAAUGGCUGUACUAAUUUAUACAAAUAUAGUUUUGGGGUGCUUGCAUAUGUCUACGUACUCAAUCUUUCUUGUUUUCGGCCCAUUGCAGAGAAAGUGGCACAUGCAAAAGAAGAGAAUUUAAAUAUGCACCAGAUGUUGGACCAAACACUGCUGGAAUUAAACAACAUGUAAAGAUACUUCGACGUGUUUCUGUGAUGUCUGGUUUUCUGAAGACACUGCUUGUCAAAGUCCAUACAAAUGCAAUUAUUUUUUUUGGGAAGAAAUGGCAGGGUUUUGUUUUUUUCCUUCAUGUGACCUGAAAGACUUAGUGUCUUUCUGCCCACAAAAUCAAAGCUGGGAUGGAUAGGGGUUCUGAAUGCAGUUAGCCAAGGUGCCAAUUACGUAUGUGGCCCAUCUUUUAAAGGGCCCAAAGGUUGCACAUGGAAUUUAUAUAUAUUUUUUUUUUCUUUUUAUUCUUGGGUAGUGUCUUUUGUUUUAUUUAAGCAACCCCAUACUGUGGUUUUGUAGUUUUUAAAACCUAGCCUAAAAUAUAUAAGAUUAAAGUUAUUUUCUUUGUUGUGGAAUUUCUGAGAGUCCUGCCUGUAGGAUUUUAGUGUACUGUGCAUUUACUUUUUUUUUUUUUUGGAUACGGGAGGAGAAGGGGAUUAAAGUGCAAUGCCAUUUUAUAAAUGCACGGUCUAGUUUAUUAAUAAUAAUGAGCCUAAUCUUUACUAAUAGACCUUGUGCAGCAUAAUAGAAAAUAUGGCAUUGCAUGGAGCAAUUGUGUAGUCCAAAUUCCUUUUCUGCCUAUCAAUGUGAUAUCCCAAAGGCAAGAUGGGAAAAAAAGGGCUGCGUGGCUGGCUUGCAGUUUUUUAACCUUGUUUCAAUGUACUCUCUACAGGUCACGUUUUAAGGUUAUAUUUCUUCCAUUUGUAGAGGUGGGGUACUUACUGGUUUCGUCGCAAACUCUAUUGAGUACCGUAAAUUGGGCUGUAUCAAAAGCUGCUGUAUUAGAGUUCUGUAAAGAUAUUGGGCGAGGUGGAACAUCCGAUUUAUAUUUUAACUUCUAUAAUACUUGACAACGGUUUAAUGGAAAUUUAAGAGUAGGUGAUCGAAAAAUAGAGAAUGGUCUUGCACAUUAUACAAAAUACUGUAGCUGCAGUUUUAAUAAUUGAAGUUUACACCUUAAAACCUCCUUUUAUGGCCCAACUGCAUUCCUUUCCCCUUAACAUAUAUAUUUUUUUUUUUUUUUUUUAAAUUCCCUCUCCUCAAAAGAUGUUAAAAAUAUAUUCCAGAAUUAUUUAAAAUUUGGGAGAAAUUUUGUAUGUCCGUGCAGAUCUAAAUCUUCUAAAAAUGUCUCACUCUUAUUUUAUUUUUAUUUUUGUUUUUUGUUUUUUACACUUUUAGAUUUCAACCAAAAUGUAAAGCGUUGUAAUAUGAAAUAAAA
rnacentral:lncRNA from 1 species